UAGACAGGAGGCAUCUCCUCAUCGGCUCAGUUCACAUUCCUCCAGGGGCUCAAAGGGGACCCAGUCCCUGUCUUGGGACACCAAGUCAGGCAGACUCCAGGAGAGAGGAAGGAAGAUGAUUCCCGCGCUCAGGCGGGCGGGUCCUGCUCCCCCUGUUGAAGACCUGAAGACAAAGAUUGACCCUCACCCUUCACCUCCCACAUCUUCCUCACCUUGGAAAAGAAAAACAUUCCUGAGAGGGGGGAUUUGUCAGCAGAAGGCUUUGGGACUAGAACUGCAGCAUCAGCUCUUCCUGGUUCUCCAGCGCCCAGGCCUACCCUGCAGAUGUGGGCUUACCGGCCUCCACGAUCAGUGAGCCGGUUCCUUAAAAUCAACCUCUCUCUCUUCCUCUGUCUCUCCCUCUCUCUCUCUCCCUGUCCACAUCCCAUUGGUUCUGUUUCUCUGGGGAAACCUGACUAAUAAGGGGACUCUCAAGGCCCUGGCUGAGGAUGGCAGGCCUGAAGAUUCUCUGAGGCAUUCAGCAUUGAAUGAGCACCAGCUGGGCGUGGAGCUGUGUCAGGCGCUGGGUACAGGACUCAGCCCCGGAACCGAGUGUGGGCCCACAUGGUGUGGGCCUUUGUCUGUCCCUGUCAUGGCUUUGGACACACGCGUGGCCUAGAGGGGACAACGGAUCUGGGUGGUGAGGUGGGAAAGCUCACCCCAGUAUUCCUCUUGGUGACAGCAGUCCCUUAAGGGGUCACCUGAGUCGUGAGACCCACAGGUGUGGACCUCCCGCCCCCUUCCUCCCCUCUCCCCCAGUGACUUUAUCCAGCACCUGCCCUGCCCAGCCUUGCACAGGCUACCCUGUGACCCACUCACAGGGAGAUAGGGCAGCUUCUUUCUGCCCAAGGCAGCUCAUCCAAGAGAAUAACAUACAGUAGAUUGCCACACACAUGACUGUGGCUGAGUCCAGGAAAGCCACUUAUAAAAUCCGGAGGUGAAGGAAGAAAAGAUCGAAAUCUCUGUAACAAAUCCAUUUCCCUCCUCCCUCCCUCCCUUCAUCUCCAAAGUAGACCUGCCCCAGGGCCAGAGAUCCUCUCCCUGCAAGGCUAGGUAACAAGCGGAUUUUUGCUUUUGAGCUUCAAGGUCCUGGCUUCUGGUGGUUUAUAGGUGAUCUUUGAGGGUGGUUUUGACGAGAGGCUUGUUAGCUUCUCUACGCUUUUGAAACGCCCACUCUCCCCACAAGAAUCUGGGACUUUGCAGAACCGGUCCAAGGUGAGAGUAGGAUUAAUUGCCAAAUGAGUUUUCUCAUAAGCCUGGGGUCCAAAGUACAUUGGACAGCCAGCAAAUGCUUAUGAGGGGUUUGAACAAGUGAAAUCAAGGCUCAAGGUCAUAGGACUCAAUGGAGAGUGAGGCAGCUGGGAUCUGGGAUGACCGGCAUGGGCCUCAAAGCAGGGGGCUUGGAAAUAGGCCCUGAAGAGGGGGUCGCUUGCGUGGCUAGCAAGGGGUUGGGGCCCACUAGCAUUUCUCAGAAUGCCUAUUUUCUUCGGCAGUGAGAGCUGGAGGGAGGGAUGGGUUUCUCAGCACAGUUCCAGUAUGAGUGGCCGUCACCACAGGGUGCCAUUGCCAAGUCAGAAAGAAACAAAGCUUAACCGCUGCCUCCUGUCCCCCAUGGUCUGUGAAAGUCUCAUACUGUAGUGCGUCUAAUGGUGGCCCCCCAAAAGAUACAUCUACAUUAUAAUUCCUGGGACCCAGAAGUGUGACCUUAUUUGGAAAAAGGGUCUUUGCAAAUGUAAGUGACCUUAUUUGGAAAAAGCGUCUUUACAAAUGUAAGUGACCUUAUUUGGAAAAAGCGUCUUUACAAAUGUAAUUUACAACAUUGAAUGAGCACCUGCUGUGUGUGAAGCUCCCUAUGUGGCCCAGGCUGGUCUUAAGGAUCGUGUGUGUGUGUGUCUGUGUGUGUGUGUGUGUGUGUGUGUGAGAGAUAGGGUCUCACUGUGUCAUCCAGGCUGGAAGGCAGUGGCACAAUCAUGGCUCACUGCAGCCUCAACCUCCCAGGCUCAAGCGAUCCUCUGGCCUCAGCCUCCCGAGUAGCUGGGACUAGGGUUGCACACCACCACUCCUGGUUAAUUUUUUGUGUGUAUUUUUUGUAGAGACGAGGUCUCCCUAAGUUGCCCACGCUGGUCUUGAACUCCUGGGCUCAAGUGACCCACCUGCCUCGGCCUCUCAAAAUGCUGAGAUUACAGGCAUGAGCCACUGUGCCCGGUUCAAGUUAAAGAUCUUGAGAUGAAAUGAUUCUUGGGAUCAUUAUCUUGGAUGGAUUGUAAAUCCCAGGAUGAAUGUCCUUAUAUGAGACGCGCAGAGGAGAGACACAGAGAUGGAAGAGGAGAAGGCCACGUGAAGGCAGAGGCAGCGACUUGAGAGUUGCAGCCACAAGCCAGGAUGGCCUGGAAGAGGCAGGAGCAGACUCUUCUUAGAGCCUCCAGAGGGAGUGUGGCCCUGCUGACACCUUGAUCUUGGACACUUGGCCCAUCAGAGCUGUAAGAGAGCCUCUUCCAGGAUGUCCUGGUGAAGACCACCACUGCCUGUCCAGUUAUACUAGUCAGAACCCUGGGAGUGUCUCUUGACACUCCUUCUCAUCGUCCGCCAAACCCAGCCCGUCCCCAAAGCCUGUUGAUUGUAUUUCCUGCUUGUCACACAAAUGCCACCAGCUUUGAUGGGCACCUUGUUCCUCCCCUUUGUGGUACUUGUCACAGUUGCAGUUUGCCUGUGAGCUCCGCAGAAGACAGAUGCCACGGCUGCUUAUUCCUUGUCGUGUCCCUGGUUCCUAAAACAGUGCCUCGUGCAUCACUGGUGUUCAAUAAAUACUUGCCAAAUAAUUGAAUAAAUAAGAAAAUGAA